GGCAUAGCUCAGUGGCAGAGCAUCUGCUAGGCAUGCAGAAGGUCUGAGGUUCAAUCCCUGGCAUCUCUA